rnacentral:rRNA from 1 species
CACGAACGCUGGCGGCAGGCUUAACACAUGCAAGUCGAGCGCCCCGCAAGGGGAGCGGCAGACGGGUGAGUAACGCGUGGGAAUCUACCCAUCUCUACGGAAUAACGCAUGGAAACGUGUGCUAAUACCGUAUACGUCCUUCGGGAGAAAGAUUUAUCGGAGAUGGAUGAGCCCGCGUUGGAUUAGCUAGUUGGUGGGGUAAAGGCCUACCAAGGCGACGAUCCAUAGCUGGUCUGAGAGGAUGAUCAGCCACACUGGUACUGAGACACGGCCCAGACUCCUACGGGAGGCAGCAGUGGGGACUAUUGGACAAUGGGCGCGAGCCUGAUCAAGCCAUGCCGCGUGAGUGAUGUAGGCCCUAGGGUUGUAAAGCUCUUUCACCGGUGAAGAUAAUGACGGUAACCGCAGAAGAAGCCCCGGCUAACUUCGUGCCAGCCGCCGCGGUAACAC